rnacentral:ncRNA from 1 species
AGGAUAGAGGUUGCAAUUUUCAAGAGUAAUCUAAAUGUAAAAAGUUGGUGAACUGUUAUUUAGACAAAAGGGGAAAUUGCCGAAAGAAUUAUACUACACCAUAUAAUUCUUGGGCUAUUACAAAAUAUGUAAUAGACUGUCACAAAUUUGUGGAGAGCUAUCA